ACGCUCGACACCUACGGGAGGCAGCAGUGGGGAAUAUUGCACAAUGGGGGAAACCCUGAUGCAGCGACGCCGCGUGAAGGAAGAAGUAUCUCGGUAUGUAAACUUCUAUCAGCAGGGAAGAAAAUGACGGUACCUGACUAAGAAGCCCCGGCUAACUACGUGCCAACAGCCGCGGUAAUCUGAGCGGGCUGCAAGGC
rnacentral:rRNA from 1 species